CAGACGGGUGAGUAACAUGUAGGUAUCUGCCCUUUGGCCUGGAAUAACACGAGGAAACUUGUGCUAAUACCGGAUAAGUCUUUACGGAGAAAGCUUUAUGCACCAUUGGAUGAGCCUGCACUUGAUUAGUUUGUUGGUGGGGUAAUGGCCUACCAAGACUGUGAUCAAUAGCUGAUUUGAGAGGAUGAUCAGCCACAUUGGGACUGAGACACGGCCCAAACUCCUACGGGAGGCAGCAGUGGGGAAUCUUGCACAAUGGAGGAAACUCUGAUGCAGCGAUGCCGCGUGAGUGAAGAAGGCCCUUGGGUUGUAAAGCUCUUUCGUCGGGGAAGAAAAUGACUGUACCCGAAUAAGAAGGUCCGGCUAACUUCGUGCCAGCAGCCGCGGUAAUACGAAGGGACCUAGCGUAGUUCGGAAUUACUGGGCUUAAAGAGUUCGUAGGUGGUUGAAAAAGUUAGUGGUGAAAUCCCAGAGCUUAACUCUGGAACUCCCAUUAAAACUUUUCAGCUAGAGUAUGAUAGAGGAAAGCAGAAUUUCUAGUGUAGAGGUGAAAUUCGUAGAUAUUAGAAAGAAUACCAAUUGCGAAGGCAGCUUUCUGGAUCAUUACUGACACUGAGGAACGAAAGCAUGGGUAGCGAAGAGGAUUAGAUACCCUCGUAGUCCAUGCCGU
rnacentral:rRNA from 1 species